CUUGGCCAGAGAGGAGCAGACAGCUCUCACCCUGAAGCUCAUCCAGGAAUGCUGGCAAGGAGUUGCUUUUUAUUUCCUAUCUCGAGUUACCGCAACACGGUUAAGACUACAAAAGCCUGAAAUCCCUGGCAAGCUAACACUGUACAUCUGUCUAAGAUGACGGCCAGCAUGGACAACUGUGGGCUUCAGCCCAUGACCAGGAUGAAGCACUUUGCUCCUUGCUGAGCAGCUGUCAUUAACAGUGAUCUGUGAGGUUUCUUCCUGAUUUCGCCUCGUGAUUUGCAUGGCUGCUUUCCUCUCUUGCAGGAUCUUCACACUUGUCUCUUCGGCUGCGGAAGGAAUCCACCACCCUGAGCCACGUGUUUAUUGUUCUCAUCACUGCAGUGCAAGAAAGACAUGGAGGCCCUGGAGUGUGUCCAGAGAAGGGCAACAAAGCUGUGCAGGGUCUGGAACACAAGUCUGAUGGGGAACGGCUGAAGGAACCGGGACUGUUCAGUAUGGAGAAGAGAAGGCUCGCAGAAGACCUUAUUGCUCUCCACAACUCUCUGAAAGGAGGUUGUGGUAAUGUGGGGGCACACCUUUUGUAACCACCACAUAUAUCACAAAGGAGAGAAAAAAGCCAACACCGAAAGGAAAAAUUGAAGCAAAGUAGUAUGAGAGAGCUACACAGAACCUCCAGUGUUUCAAAGCUGCUGGUUGCUGCUAGUGUUGGCAUGAGAGGAAGCAUAAAGUGGAUCAAGUGCAAGGGCAAACAGUCCGAGGCAUUCUGCUAGCAGAGUCUCCUGUCAUCCUCCUGCUUUUCAACAUGAUGGCGAUCCAAGCUGCACAGAGUCUUGGAUGUAGCUCCAAGCACUGAAUCACUUUGACUCCCCUCCCUCCCCUGCAAUGAUCACACAUAGAAAACAGACAUGACUGAGAGAGACUUGGGCCAGUUUCUAAAAAGAAAGUCACUUUUCAACACAAUCUUCCAUGGAAAGGGAUUGUUUGGUUUUGUCGCUUAACAAACACCCCGAUGGCCUGAUGAGAAACACUUGUCAAGCUGAGUUUCCUUCCUCAGACUUGGGGUUAGGAAACUGUACUUGCUGGAAAAGGAUGUUUGUAGCCUUGAAAUGGGAUUAGUCCCUUGAUACCCUUCCUCCUUCAUAGUCCCCACUCACAUUCAAUACCAAAAGAGUGACAAACAUGUCCCUGAUGCACCUUGUCCCUGUUGUACCUUCACAAGGUAAUUUUAACGUGGUAUGAAACUUUCUAUAUUAGAAUAUUAAGGCUGCAAAGUGAAAUUCUCUGUGAUAUGAUAUUAACUCUGUUCUCUUAUUAGUGUAAAUGAGUAUCUGAAGUUGUGACAAGCUACUGCCUAAUUGGCAUUAUCUUCUGUGUACAUGGGUAAUGUACCCUGCUUGUUAUCGACCUGGCAACACAGCAAACGGUUAUUAAAUGGGUGGUUGGUUGAACACACUCUGUGUACAUCUGUGUUGGUACUUUAAACUGUGCCAGUGCAUGGGACCAGGUCACUUGUACAGUUCUGCCCUGGACAAAUCUGACUCUUUAAAUUUCACAGACACUGUCUGUUAGUACAGUCAGGCAGGAGAUCUGAAGUGAGAGCUUAGUGGUAUGGGUACAACAAAAGAAAGCUCAAAUUUACUAGUCUAGAUACAUUUCUGUGUAAAUAUAUAUCUGUGCUUUGCCCCUAGCCUUACUCAUACCUGGACCACAAUCUUCAUCCUUGACAGGACAAGAGGUAAUGGCCUUAAAUUAAGACAGGGGAGGUUCAGACUGGAUAUUAGGAAAAACUUCUCAGAAGGAGUGGUGAUGCAUGGGCACAGCCUGGCCAGGGAGGUGUGGGAGUCAUCAUCCCUGGAGGUGUUUGAGAAUGGAUAGAGGUGGCACUGAGUAAUGUGGUCUUGAGUAGUCAUAGGCAUGGGCUGAUGGUUGGACUAGGUGAUCUUAGUGGUCUUUCCAACCUUAAUGGUUCUUUGCUUCUAUGAUUCUCAACUCCGAUCAUGCUUUCCUUGACUUGGACUUUCUUACCAACCUGCAUCUGCUCUGCCUACUUCCAUCCCAAAGUGCAUCCUUGCCUUUACAUUCUGUAUUAAUCCUGCUUUUCUUUAGCUCCAUGGCUUUACCUCAUCCUGUCUCCAGGAUGUACAAUGUAGUUUAGAUCACCUCUUUGACUUGCAAACUCUCCCUAUAUUCUUCUGCCACAGUCGAUUCCUGUACUGACUCAAUUUGGCCUUAAUUUUCAUCACCAAUUUCAGUCUGGCCGAAUCAGUAGGCAGACCCAUGUUUCUUCAGCAGAGCUAUUUUCCUCAGGCUGUGAGUAACAGAAACACUUCAGUAUGUCCUUAAAUCUAUCCCCCUAGGCAUAAUUAAGCACGUUCUCCUGUUGCCCUGAGGAAGGAGGAUGCCUGCUGUGGAGGGAGGCAGGAUUGCCUAAUGAAUUGAUUUGGACUCCUGAGCAAUGUGGAAUAGUUCAGAGAGUCUCGGCAGGACUGAUGCUAAAUCACA
rnacentral:lncRNA from 1 species